GUCUGCGUGGAGCCGACCUUGAAAUACCACCCUUUAAUGUUUGAUGUUCUAACGUGGACCCGUGAUCCGGGUUGCGGACAGUGUCUGGUGGGUAGUUUGACUGGGGCGGUCUCCUCCUAAAGAGUAACGGAGGAGCACGAAGGUUGGCUAAUCCUGGUCGGACAUCAGGAGGUUAGUGCAAUGGCAUAAGCCAGCUUGACUGCGAGCGUGACGGCGCGAGCAGGUGCGAAAGCAGGUCAUAGUGAUCCGGUGGUUCUGAAUGGAAGGGCCAUCGCUCAACGGAUAAAAGGUACUCCGGGGAUAACAGGCUGAUACCGCCCAAGAGUUCAUAUCGACGGCGGUGUUUGGCACCUCGAUGUCGGCUCAUCACAUCCUGGGGCUGAAGUAGGUCCCAAGGGUAUGGCUGUUCGCCAUUUAAAGUGGUACGCGAGCUGGGUUUAGAACGUCGUGAGACAGUUCGGUCCCUAUCUGCCGUGGGCGCUGGAGAACUGAGGGGGGCUGCUCCUAGUACGAGAGGACCGGAGUGGACGCAUCACUGGUGUUCGGGUUGUCAUGCCAAUGGCACUGCCCGGUAGCUAAAUGCGGAAGAGAUAAGUGCUGAAAGCAUCUAAGCACGAAACUUGC
rnacentral:rRNA from 1 species